UUCAUCUUUCGAGUAAACAGUUUAAAGAGAAUGCAACUGUGACCAAGCCCCUCCCCACCCCCUGCCGAGAGCUCUUAAGAGCACAAACCACGGCGUCUGCUCCUCCCAUGGCCCUGUCUCCUUGCAGGCCACCCCCAUUGAUACAGUUUCCAGCCUCCACUCCCAAACCAGGAUAAGGACUGGCCAGCACCGUGGAAGCAGCUGAGCUCUGGGGCCAGAAACCUGGGCUGGACCCUAAGUCACCACUCGCCAGCUAUGUGGCCUCAGAGGAGUCAGCUCAGAGGCUUGGUUCAUUCUUUGAACAUCUGAGCUGCCCGUGGGCUUUGUGUGAUGAGUAAGAGGGUGGCCGGCCUCCCUGUUCCAUCUUCUGAGAGGAGCUAUAUCCAUUUUGCACCCUGAACCUCCAAACUCAGAAGUCUCUGAGGAGCCCUGAAUAGGAGAAAAUGUGGCUGAAAAUGAAGUGGAAAAUCAGUGUGAUAACCAAAUCAAGAUCAUGCCUCGCUGGGACCCUGUCACACUAAAGCUUCCAGAGCAUAAUCGUUUUUAAAAUCUGUAAUAGUACCUGGAGUUUUUUCCUGUGCUUUCUAUAAUUCAGCUCUUUGAGUCUGCUCUGAACCCUUGGUGGUAGCUCACUGCUCAUGAACAGAUGCCCCUCCUGGGGGGCUCCAGUGGCCCUCCACAAUGGUCCCAUUCCUGAGCUGUUUAUCCUCACCCUGGAGGGCUCCCUCUGAUCACCCAGGCUCACUGCUCUGGAUGAGGCACAGGUGGGAAGGGCUGUGGGUGAUGCAGGGAGGGCUUUGAGUCACCAUCCCCUCCUGAAGUGUAUCCUAAGCCAUUUCCAGGUGUACAGCUCUCAGGGGAGACAAGAAUGCAUUGUUCUACCUGGCACGAUGGGGUGUGGGCCACGUGGGGUAUGGGCCACAGAAGCAUAUUCCCAAACCUCCACUUUGGAGAGCCACGUACAGCAAAGCAGGAGAAGACGGCAGAGGCGGGGAUGGGGAGACCAUCUGUGAGUGUGGUUCCUGCCCGGCUUUCCCCUUCCUGCCAGGUCUCCCAGGAGGCCAGGUGGCGGCUGCAGCCGGUGGCAGACACUCCCUUCCUGGGGUGCUGGCUGCAGCCGGCUGCCAUGGGACUCCGACCAGGGCUCUCCUGGGGUUCUGUUGACUCAACACAUCAUCUGACGCCACCCCGGCAGGCCCUCUGGGUGUCAGGUGCCAGUGAGACGGGUUGGGGAGGCUGGGACGGUGUCCAGACUGCCGCCUCUGCCCCAGAGCUCGUUUCCAUGGUGCCGUUUCCAGCUCCAGGAGCUCUCCUCAUUCACAUCACGAAGGGAGAGGCAGGGAUCGUGAGCUCUAGUGGUUGUCUGCCUCCAGUGAUUAAUUGGUACGAUUCUCCACGGAGGAGGAAGAGAAGAGGAAGGAAAGCUGCAGAUGAAAGGGAAAUAAGCGUCUCGUGGUGGAAACAAAAGUAUUGGUUGCAUCCUUUCAAAGACGAUCUGGAAUCUCAAACCUAGGGUUUACCUCUGCCCUUCGAUGGCAACAACAAUUCUGGGAG